GAUGAACGCUGGCGGCGUGCCUAAUACAUGCAAGUCGAGCGAACGGACGAUAAGCUUUCUUUUCUGAUGGUAGCGGCUGACGGGUGAGUGACACGUGGAUAACCAACCUAUAAGACUGGGAGAACUUCGUGAAACCGCUUCCAAUACUGCCUAAUAUUUUGAACGGGAUGGUUCAAAAGAGAAAGACGGUCUUCCUGUCACGUAUAGCUGGAGCCGCGCUGCAUUCGCUAGUUGGUAAGGUAACGGCUUACCAAGGCAACGAUGCAUAGCCGACCUGAGAGGGUGAUCCGCCACAAUGGAAGUGAGAAAAGGUCCAUACUCCUACGGGAGGGAGGCGUAGGGAAUCUUCCGCAAUGGGCGAAAGCCUGGCGGAGGACCGCCGCGUGGGUGGUGAAGGUCUUCGGAUCGUAAAACUCUGUUAUUAGGGAAGAACAUAUGUGUAAGUAACUGUGCACAUCUCGACGGUGCCUAAUCAGAGAAGCACGGCUAACUACGUG
rnacentral:rRNA from 1 species